rnacentral:rRNA from 1 species
UACGGAGGGUGCGAGCGUUAAUCGGAAUUACUGGGCAUAAAGCGUGCGCAGGCGGUUUGUUAAGCGAGAUGUGAAAGCCCCGGGCUCAACCUGGGAACCGCAUUUCGAACUGGCAAACUAGAGUCUUGUAGAGGGGGGUAGAAUUCCAGGUGUAGCGGUGAAAUGCGUAGAGAUCUGGAGGAAUACCGGUGGCGAAGGCGGCCCCCUGGACAAAGACUGACGCUCAGGCACGAAAGCGUGGGGAGCAAACAGG